GGAGCCGACCUUGAAAUACCACCCUUUAAUGUUUGAUGUUCUAACGUGGACCCGUGAUCCGGGUUGCGGACAGUGUCUGGUGGGUAGUUUGACUGGGGCGGUCUCCUCCUAAAGAGUAACGGAGGAGCACGAAGGUUGGCUAAUCCUGGUCGGACAUCAGGAGGUUAGUGCAAUGGCAUAAGCCAGCUUGACUGCGAGCGUGACGGCGCGAGCAGGUGCGAAAGCAGGUCAUAGUGAUCCGGUGGUUCUGAAUGGAAGGGCCAUCGCUCAACGGAUAAAAGGUACUCCGGGGAUAACAGGCUGAUACCGCCCAAGAGUUCAUAUCGACGGCGGUGUUUGGCACCUCGAUGUCGGCUCAUCACAUCCUGGGGCUGAAGUAGGUCCCAAGGGUAUGGCUGUUCGCCAUUUAAAGUGGUACGCGAGCUGGGUUUAGAACGUCGUGAGACAGUUCGGUCCCUAUCUGCCGUGGGCGCUGGAGAACUGAGGGGGGCUGCUCCUAGUACGAGAGGACCGGAGUGGACGCAUCACUGGUGUUCGGGUUGUCAUGCCAAUGGCACUGCCCGGUAGCUAAAUGCGGAAGAGAUAAGUGCUGAAAGCAUCUAAGCACGAAACUUGCCCCGAGAUGAGUUCUCCCUGAGACUUUAAGUCUCCUGAAGGAACGUUGAAGACGACGACGUUGAUAGGCCGGGUGUGUAAGCGCAGCGAUGCGUUGAGCUAACCGGUACUAAUGAACCGUGAGGCUUAA
rnacentral:rRNA from 1 species